rnacentral:tRNA from 1 species
GGCUUUAUAGUCUAAAUUAAGAUAUUGGAUUGCAAAUCUAAAGAUGUUUAUACUAAAGCUU